AUUUUGUCCUUCUACUGUCUCUCACGAACCGCUGGGCUUUGAAAAUGCAAAACCAAAACAAACACAAAGGAACACGCUGGAGAAGAAUGUGUGUGUGUGUGUGUGUGUGUGUGUGUUUAAAAUCACUCUGGUGAUUGCCCAAUCACUGGGCCAUGGUAAUUAUCCAGGAAGGUGUUUGAAGAUAUGCUCCACUGAAGGGGAGUGAUAACAACCUUCAGAAACUGUUUAAUCCCCAGGAACUAAAAUCAGUCUGAUGGCAGCUGCGCAAGAUGGGAAGGAAUAAUCACUGAAAUUAGACCAAGGAGGAGAGCAUGAAGUGUGUUUUCUUUCAGCCACCGGCGUUGGAAGAGCUCAAGUUCAGCUGCCCCAUCCCGCCUGGGACACAGGCGGACAGUGGCGGAGACAGAGACAGGCCAGGGAGCAACAGAGGAUGGGGAAGUCGUUACCAGGACCAGACACGCCCUUCCCAGGUUCCAAGUCAUGUUGGAGGCCUCUUAAAUGUUCAGAAAUGGCUUCAUCUGAUGAGAUCUUCACCACUGCACUUUGGAUUGGAAUGAAUAGCAGAAUGGUAACACUCUUGUCAGUUUUCACAAUACUGAAAUGGUACACAGACUAUCUUUACACUAACGUAUUUUUGCUAAAAAUUAACAAGAGUAGAUUAUCUAAUAUUCAACAAAAGCAAACACUUUUACCUCUGGGGGGUGGGAAUUAUUGUCAAAAUUAAAAGUUGAAGCAAAUUAAUUUAUAAGCAAAUUUCCAACCUGAUUUUUUGUAUAUGUUGAGAUGUAACAAUUUAGUUUUCAAAAACCCAGAUUGUAACUUUAAAGACUUUUGUCUUAACAGAAUAUACUGUUCUUAGAAAUAGGAUGGAAAAGGUUGGUUGGUUGAUCAGUGGUUGUAUACACUUUCUUGUAAUUGUAGCAAAUUCUAGAAGGGUACUUCUUAAAGAAAGAAACUGUGGGUUAGUAAGUGAUAAUGUGGCCAUGGAAUUAUGAAGUUUCCCAACUUGCCUAUUCUGGAGAAUUAUCUAGGGCAUACAUUAAAAAACAACAAUGACAACAGCAAAACAAACAAAACAGAUUCCAGGUCCCACCCUAGCCCUCUCUAGGGGAGACCUAAAAGAAAUCUGUAUUUUAAACAGGUAUGCAGGGCUGCUCUUACCAUCUGGCAAGUCUGAGAAGUAGUAGAUAAUGGGGAAAGGUCUGACUUUAUCAUCAGACAGACUGAACUUGAAUCCCUGCUUGGCCAGGCUGGAGCUGAAUAACAUUUGGUUAAUUUCUCUGAGCUUCAGUUUCUUCAUUCAUUGCUUGUGUUGAGACAGGGGUGGGCACAACAUGGGGAGCAAGGGGGACUGGGGCACCAAAGGAGUUACUGUUUAUAAAACCUCUAGUGCUGUAUUGCAUCCACUCUUCAAACAAUAAUAAUAGUGAAAUACCAGUGGUUUGAUUUUCUGGAAUUUAACCAUUGAAAUAGAUCAAAUUUUUCCUGUCUUCAGAGACAGAACAACUGUUUUAAAUUGAUCAGUUCUGGGUUGAUCAUUUCCUGCCCACUUCUUAUUUUGCCCGAGAAUGUAUUUGGUGGAAAUGAUUGAUCAGGGAGAUUCUUUUUGGCACUCUUCCUUGGUUUUGAACAUUGUGUCCUAAUGAAGUGGCAUCUCUAAUAUCUCACUCUUUACUCUUUUUUAGCCACCUAGAAUUCUCUGUCAUUCUACUGAACAGGAGAAU
ensembl:lncRNA